rnacentral:rRNA from 1 species
GACGAACGCUGGCGGCGUGCCUAAUACAUGCAAGUAGAACGCUGAAGGAGGAGCUUGCUUCUCUGGAUGAGUUGCGAACGGGUGAGUAACGCGUAGGUAACCUGCCUGGUAGCGGGGGAUAACUAUUGGAAACGAUAGCUAAUACCGCAUAAGAGUAGAUGUUGCAUGACAUUUGCUUAAAAGGUGCAAUUGCAUCACUACCAGAUGGACCUGCGUUGUAUUAGCUAGUUGGUGAGGUAACGGCUCACCAAGGCAACGAUACAUAGCCGACCUGAGAGGGUGAUCGGCCACACUGGGACUGAGACACGGCCCAGACUCCUACGGGAGGCAGCAGUAGGGAAUCUUCGGCAAUGGACGGAAGUCUGACCGAGCAACGCCGCGUGAGUGAAGAAGGUUUUCGGAUCGUAAAGCUCUGUUGUAAGAGAAGAACGAGUGUGAGAGUGGAAAGUUCACACUGUGACGGUAUCUUACCAGAAAGGGACGGCUAACUACGUGCCAGCAGCCGCGGUAAUACGUAGGUCCCGAGCGUUGUCCGGAUUUAUUGGGCGUAAAGCGAGCGCACGCGGUUAGAUAAGUCUGAAGUUAAAGGCUGUGGCUUAACCAUAGUACGCUUUGGAAACUGUUUUAACUUGAGUGCAACAGGGGAGAGUGGAAUUCUAUGUGUAGCGGUGAAAUGCGUAGAUAUAUGGAGUGAGCACCGGUGGCGAAAGAGGCUCUCUGGUUUGUAACUGAAUCUGUAUGCUCGUAAAGAUAGGUGCUUUAUAGUCGAUGUGAUACACGGUUGGUCCUAGGUC